rnacentral:tRNA from 2 species
GCCGCAGUGGCGGAACAGGCAGACGCACAGGACUUAAAAUCCUGCGGGGCUUACCCCCCGUACGGGUUCGAUUCCCGUCUGCGGCA